UCACUCUUCUCAGAUCUUCUCUGAGGUUAGGCACACGAAGAGAAAGCCCUGGGGAAACUCCUUGCGUACUAGAGACUGGUUGAAGAACUGAUUUCAUGUAGGUGCAUAUAUGCAGCACCCCUCAGUUCCCCACCAACACAGCAGUGUUUUCUCAGAUAAGAACAAAUUUACUUUUAUUUCCUUUUGUUCUGUCUGAGAGCCACUUGGCAGGCUUUUCACAUUGUGUGUGUGUGUGUGUGUGUGUGUGUGUGUGAGAGAGAGAGAGAGAGAGAGAGAGAGAGAGGAUUAAGGUCAGAAAGGAUUCUGUCCUGAACAGUAGCUGUAUUGGUCUGUUGCACCAAACUUUCUUUCAAGAGUAGAAUGCUUAACUUUGGUUGGCUCAUGCCUGACAUUUUAACAAAGAGAGGGAAGGGAGGGGAGCAUAGGAAUGCAGAGGAGGAGUGGACAAGACAAGAGUCCAAUUACCUGCAUGAAGGGGGUCCAUACAACAAAAGGGGUUGUGCGGUUGUGCAAUUUCUUCACCCCUGGGGAAGUCUGAUUCCUGGCACUUAUGAUUGCAGGUACAGCAGACUUUUCCAUUCCUACGUCUCAAGGGGGAAAUGCAGAAUUUGCCCUAGAAUGAUGGCAUUGUUUUAGCUGCACAUCACUAUUUGCUCAAACUUUAGGAGAUGCCCAUAUGAUACCGUGCCUAACUAUCUAACUGUUAUCUUUUGUCUGUUUUUCUCCAGCAUGCCUUCUAUUGCCAGCCUUCCCAGUACCAAAGCUCCAGUUCCACCCCAGGCACAUUAUGGCUCCUUUCUGGUACAGCUGUUGUGCAGGGUGUCCUGUUUUCAACUGGGUGCCUUUGUCCUGGCUCUUAUUGGCUGCCCCAUAAUGCUAAUCUUGAAUGGAGAGUGUGGCAGGUUGAGAACAUCAUGGGCAGCAACAAACCUGACAUUGAAGGAAUUGAGAUCUGGGGCACCUGUUCCGUGUGUAGAAUUACGAUGAAGAAAAUCAACAUUAUAUGCAUACCAUUAAAAGAUGAGGAGUCCCUACCCUCUGAAAUAAUCAUUGCCUAGGACUUGAUGCCAUUGGCUUCAAUUGCUAAUGCGGUGACCGUUUUUUGUAUGGCCUUUGCGCUAUAUAACAUCUUUAAGCCUGGAAAACACGAUGAUUUCAUCGCUACCUUCUUUUUUCCUUCUUGUGUGUGUUUGCAGUCUGUACAGAGAAUACUGGCCCAGUCUUUGAGUGCCUGUGUGCUGCUCUCAGCCCUGGCCAGCAAGAACAAUGAUCAGGGACACUCGGCUUCAGUGGUCCAGAGAGACCUAGACCGCUUCCAGCUUUAGGCAGAAUAAAAAAUAAAAAAUGAUGGAACACAAAACAAAAUAGCGGUACACACUAAAGACAUGAUACAUAAUUAAAUGUGAUGAAAUAUCUGUGAACAAAAAAGAACCAUGUCUUUUACCCAAUCAUCUCUCAAUUGCUUACAUUUUCAGCUCUAAGCUGAGAGUGUGUGUCACAUUUUGGUCUGCUGCAGAUAGGAACAAGUUGAGAGAAGAAUCAAAUACCAAAAAAUUAAGAAGUGACUAAAUCUAAGGCCCACAUAAUUAUACAAACUAUAAUUUUGAUCCAUGAUUUUCUUAGAGUCCUGUAAAGUUUUCAGUUUUUAGGCUUCCAGAAGGUUUGGUUUUCUGCCAAAUUUCACCGGAUCUUAUUUUAUUUUGUUGCUGCCAUAAAUACAAUUCUGCCCCUUACAGCUUUCCCACAGUGAUUUGCUGUUAGGAAUGACUUUGACAGAAGACCACAGGUAUUUAGGAACAGAUUUCCCUGUACAACACAGUAAAAUUGUUAUCUAUACAGACUGUGCUCUCUGUGUCUAUAAUCCAUACUGUGAAAGGAAAAAUACAUUACACAUUUGUAAAAGUCAACAGUUUCAUAACAAAACCUUGGACGUAGUAAUCUUUGACCUGCAUAUCCAGCCUAGGCCACUACUUUCCUGAUAACUCCUGGUGUCAUUGUUCUUCAUCUCAGUCAACUUGCUCACUUCAUCCUUUGGUUUCUCAAAAUUUGUUCUGGAGUAAGUUAUAAUGAUUACCUGUCAGGGUCACCUGGUC
rnacentral:lncRNA from 1 species